rnacentral:rRNA from 1 species
GAUGUACGCUGGCGGCGUGGAUAAGACAUGCAAGUCGAACGCUGAUUCGAGGGUAGCAAUAUUCUCGAGUCAGAGUGGCGCAAGGGUGCGUAACACGUGGGCAAUCUACCGCGAAGACCGGAAUAACCUGCUGAAAGGCGGGCUAAUGCCGGAUGUGACUGUCUGGAGGAUUCUUCGGACACUCAAAGUUGGGGACCGUAAGGCCUGACACUUCGCGAUGAGCCCGCGGCCUAUCAGCUAGUUGGCGGGGUAACGGCCCACCAAGGCUAAGACGGGUAGCUGGUCUGAGAGGACGACCAGCCACACUGGAACUGAGACACGGUCCAGACACCUACGGGUGGCAGCAGUCGAGAAUUUUUCACAAUGGGCGAAAGCCUGAUGGAGCGACGCCGCGUGGGGGAUGAAGGGCUUCGGCUCGUAAACCCCUGUCAUUCGAGAACAAACCCUGCGAUUUAAUAGAUCGCGGGCUGGAUAGUAUCGGAAGAGGAAGGGACGGCGUAACU